GACGAACGCUGGCGGCGCGCUUAACACAUGCAAGUCGAGCGAGAACCAGUCCUUCGGGACUGGGGACAGCGGCGAACGGGUGAGUAACACGUGGGUAAUCUGCCCUCGGCACCGGAAUAGCCCGGGGAAACCCGGAUUAAUGCCGGAUGGCCUCUCUACCCCUCGGGGCCGCGAGAAAAGGUAGCUUCGGCCUCCGGCCGAGGAGGAGCCCGCGGCCGAUUAGCUUGUUGGUGAGGUAACGGCUCACCAAGGUGACGAUCGGUAGCUGGUCUGAGAGGACGAUCAGCCACACUGGGACUGAGACACGGCCCAGACUCCUACGGGAGGCAGCAGUGGGGAAUCUUGCGCAAUGGGCGAAAGCCUGACGCAGCGACGCCGCGUGCGGGAAGAAGGCCUUCGGGUUGUAAACCGCUGUCAGAGGGGAUGAAGUCAUAGUGGGUGCUCCCAUUAUGUUGACAGAGCCUCAGAGGAAGCACGGGCUAAGUAUGUGCCAGCAGCCGCGGUAACAC
rnacentral:rRNA from 1 species